rnacentral:rRNA from 1 species
UGGGCUCGAAAUGUAGUGGGACUGGGGGUAGAAAUAUCCCUUCCCCGCAAGGGGUCGCUAUAU